rnacentral:misc_RNA from 1 species
GUUUUCUCUUAGAGGCUAGUCUCCUCUUUUGUCGAGCUAAGUCAGUAGUCUCCUAUCCUUCUAGUGGAGGACAACCCUCCUUCCCCCAUUUGGAAUGGGUCUUCCCUCACCCCGUUGGGUAGGGCUGUAGAUAUUUUUGAGUUUUUGGUUUGCAAGUUUGGGGAUUGACUGAGAAAGUUUAAAGGAACCUACAAGAAUUUUGGUUCUCAAGUUUCAACAACAGGAGGGCUUCUCCUCUGUGG